CCCUCUCCCACCUCCAGACGCGGCCUUCCUCACCCUGCCUCAGGCCCACCGGAGACCCGGAGACAGUGAGGGGCUUGAGACACUUUGGGUAAAUUUCUUCCUCGGCUCAGCUUCAUGGGCCGGCUAAUUUGAGAGUCCCCUCCACAGUCAGUGCCCAGGAUUCAUGCAUCCCCAGCCAGGCCUCAUCCGGCCCAGGCACCUGCCCAGCUCCUUCUCCUCAUGCCUGGCUUCCUUCUGUCAUUCCAGGACCAGGCCCCCCUGUGACCAGAACUCCUGCGACUACGCCCUGCUGUAGCCAGCACCUCUGCAACCAGGACACCUGUGACGGCCCCCUCCCUGCAACCAGGCCUCCUGUGACACCCCCCGAUCCCUGCUGCAACCAGGGCCCCCUGCGACAGUCUCCUCCCUGCAACCAGGCCUCCUGCAAUGCCCCACCCUGCAACCAGGCCCCCCUGGGACGAGGCCUCCCACCCCCGGCCGUGACCAGGCCCCCUGCAUUCAUCUCAGCCCCUUCGCCAUCUCUCCUCCUGCCCACCAUCGGCUUACCCUGCAGAGUCAUUUUUCUCUCCCCGAGUGGCACCGGGCUCAGCAGACACUCUGGCCAUGAAGGCAUCUUCUGACUCAAGCAGGUCUAGAUGUCUACCCCCAAGGAAUCCCAGAACAGUUGAUCUCGUCCUUUUUAUUUUUUUAUUUUUUGAGAUGGAGUUUUGCUCUUGUUGCCCAGGCUGGAGUGCAAUGGCGCAAUCUCGGCUCACUGCAACCUCUGCCUUCCAGGUUCAAGCAAUUCUCCUGCCUCAGCCUCCCGAGUAGCUGGGAUUAUAGGCAUGCACCACCACGCCCAGGUAAUUUUGUGUUUUUAGUAGAGACGGGGUUUCUCCAUGUUGAGGAUGGUCUCGAACUCCUGACCUCAAGAGUUCGCCCACCUCGGCCUCCCAAAGUGCUGGGAUUACAGGCAUGAGUCACCAGCG
rnacentral:lncRNA from 1 species